rnacentral:rRNA from 1 species
UACGCAGGGUGCAAGCGUUAAUCGGAAUUACUGGGCGUAAAGCGUGCGCAGGCGGUUUUGUAAGUCAGAUGUGAAAUCCCCGGGCUUAACCUGGGAACUGCGUUUGAAACUAUAAGGCUAGAGUGUGACAGAGGGGGGUGGAAUUCCACGUGUAGCAGUGAAAUGCGUAGAGAUGUGGAGGAACACCGAUGGCGAAGGCAGCCCCCUGGGUUAACACUGACGCUCAGGCCCGAAAGCGUGGGGAGCAAACAGG